GAACGAGACAAGCUGGCUCAAGCAUUUGAAGAUGCUUUUGAGGUACUGAGGCAACAUUCAACUGGAGAUCUUCAAAACUUACCUGGUUUUCAUCAGUGAUUGUACCCAUGUCAGAGGAGAUUCCAACUGCUAUGGAAUGUUGCUUACAGAGGAAUCUAUUUAUAAUUGGAGAACUUUAAUAAAUAAUGCUGCAGACUUCUAUUUUGAAGGAACCAUUCAUUGAUCUUUGUGGAACAUAACUGAAAGCCAGCUGGUGCAGUCUGCUGUUUUCCAGCAACAGGGAGGACAAGGCGGGAAGCUUCUCUGACUGUUUGAAUAACUUCACAAAUCUCAGUAUAAUCCCAAGAUGGCAUCUGCAUUCAGUAAGUAGAUAAAACCAAAGGCAGUUUCCAGUUUGUAUCAAAAAAUGAAGAAAAAUUUGCCAAACUUUGAGGAAUAAGAAAGGGCAAUAGGAAGACCAUGGUCUAUCAGAAAAUGGCCAGGGAACUGAGGAAUUAUGGAAAAACUCAGGAAAUCAACAAAAUCUGGAGAAAGCUCAUUUACCAAUGAGCUUCAGUGGGGCCAUUCUCUGAAGAUCUCUCCAUCUUGUUUCUCUGAGAAAGAGAUCGUCUACUCACAGUAUGUUCAACUGAUCAAGAACAUCUCAGUUUAAGUAAUUGGAAUGCAAACUAAAAUUUUACAUAUGCCAGUUACCAUGAGCUUAGUCACCAUGAUUGCUAA
rnacentral:lncRNA from 1 species